rnacentral:rRNA from 1 species
GAUGAACGCUGGCGGCGUGCUUAACACAUGCAAGUCGAACGGAAAGGCCCAAGCUUGCUUGGGUACUCGAGUGGCGAACGGGUGAGUAACACGUGGGUGAUCUGCCCUGCACUUCGGGAUAAGCCUGGGAAACUGGGUCUAAUACCGGAUAGGACGAUGGUUUGGAUGCCAUUGUGGAAAGUUUUUUCGGUGUGGGAUGAGCUCGCGGCCUAUCAGCUUGUUGGUGGGGUAAUGGCCUACCAAGGCGUCGACGGGUAGCCGGCCUGAGAGGGUGUACGGCCACAUUGGGACUGAGAUACGGCCCAGACUCCUACGGGAGGCAGCAGUGGGGAAUAUUGCACAAUGGGCGCAAGCCUGAUGCAGCGACGCCGCGUGGGGGAUGACGGCCUUCGGGUUGUAAACUCCUUUCGCUAGGGACGAAGCGUUUUGUGACGGUACCUGGAGAAGAAGCCCCGGCUAACUACGUG